GAUGAACGCUGACAGAAUGCUUAACACAUGCAAGUCUUUGGCGAAGCUGUGCUUGCACAGCCUAGCCAAGGCGGACGGGUGAGUAACGCGUAAGGAGCUUGCCCUGCAGUCAGGGAUAACAGACGGAAACGACUGAUAAGACCUGGUAAAGUCAGGCGGACUCAUGUCCAGCCUGAUGAAAAGUGAUGCUGCAGGAGAGCCUUGCGUCCUAUUAGCUUGUUGGUGGGGUAACGGCCCACCAAGGCGAUGAUAGGUAGCCGGCCUGAGAGGGUGGACGGCCACAAGGGGACUGAGAUACGGCCCUUACUCCUACGGGAGGCAGCAGUGGGGGAUAUUGGACAAGGGGGGCAACCCUGAUCCAGCAAUUCUGUGUGCACGAUGAAGGUUUUCGGAUUGUAAAGUGCUUUCAGCAGGGAGGAAAAAAAUGACGGUACCUGCAGAAGAAGCGACGGCUAAAUACGUG
rnacentral:rRNA from 1 species